UGGGGAAUAUUGCACAAUGGGCGCAAGCCUGAUGCAGCCAUGCCGCGUGUGUGAAGAAGGCCUUCGGGUUGUAAAGCACUUUCAGCGGGGAGGAAGGCGUUAAGGUUAAUAACCUUGGCGAUUGACGUUACCCGCAGAAGAAGCACCGGCUAACUCCGUGCCAGCAGCCGCGGUAAUACGGAGGGUGCAAGCGUUAAUCGGAAUUACUGGGCGUAAAGCGCACGCAGGCGGUCUGUCAAGUCGGAUGUGAAAUCCCCGGGCUCAACCUGGGAACUGCAUUCGAAAGUGGCAGGCUAGAAUCUUGUAGAGGGGGGUAGAAUUCCAGGUGUAGCGGGGAAAUGCGUAGAGAUCUGGAGGAAUACCGGUGGCGAAGGCGGCCCCCUGGACAAAGACUGACACUCAGGUGCGAAAGCGAGGGGAGCAAACAGG
rnacentral:rRNA from 1 species